CUAAUGCCAGAAAGAAAUGAGGCCUUUCUGAGGGUUCAGCUGAGCUGCAGCUUAUAAAGCGGUUACUGAAUGAAGAUAUAUGAACCGCAACAAGGAGGUUAUUUGGGAGCUCCCCACUGGGAGGAAACCAAAUUAAGGAAAACUUGCCGUUCCUUGGAAUGCCUGGAAAUCCUGGAAGAGUCUGGAGUCUGAAGGGCGAUAGAGCCUUGUGUCCACUUCACAACGCAGCACAGUGAUGAUCUCGUGGAUUUCCCUUGAACUGACCUCCAGAUUGACCUCAGCUCUUAUUCUGACGAUGUUCAUGCCUUUAAAUUUGUGUUCUUUCAGAAAUUUGACAUUUAAUUUUACUUACUUGUUGUGUUUCACUCUUUUGUUUUGAGUUGGUUUAAUAGGAACAGUUUUGCUACAGGACAGAUUCAAUGGUAAACAUUUAAAAUGUAGAUCUGGAAGAUAAUCUUCUGUAAAAACCAUAAAAACUGUUUUUUUUAAUGAUUUUACAGG